rnacentral:tRNA from 4 species
GGAGGGAUCGCAUAGUGGCCUAGUGCGCCCGCCUGCUAAGCGGGUUGGGGGUGAUGAGCUCCCUCGCGGGUUCGAAUCCCGCUCCCUCCGCCA